rnacentral:rRNA from 1 species
UUCCGGUUGAUCCCGCCGGACCUUACUGCUAUCGGGGUGGGACUAAGACAUGCGAGUCGAGCGUCUCUAGCUAUGUUGAGACGCGGCAGACGGCUCAGUAACACGUGGCUAACCUACCUUCAGGACGAGGAUAAACCCGGGAAACUGGGGCUACUACUCGAUAGGUGAGAAUGUCUGGAAUGACUUCUCAUCCAAAGGGCCUUGGAAACAUGCUUUCAAUGUCGCCUGGAGAUGGGGCCGCGUCCGAUCAGGUUGUUGGUGAGGUAACGGCUCACCAAGCCUAUAACCGGUACGGGCCAUGAGAGUGGUAGCCCGGAGAUGGGUACUGAGACCAGGACCCAGGCCCUACGGGGCGCAGCAGUCGCGAAAACUCCGCAAUGCACGAAAGUGUGACGGGGCUACCCCGAGUGCCAUCCGCUGAGGUUGGCUUUUCUUUGGUAUAACUAGCCAGGGGAAUAAGGAGAGGGCAAGACUGGUGUCAGCCGCCGCGGUAAUACCAGCUCUCCGAGUGGUAGGGAUGAUUAUUGGGCUUAAAGCGUCCGUAGCCGGCUUAGCAAGUCUCCUGUUAAAUUCAGCGACCUAAUCGUUGACCCGCGGGAGAUACUACUAGGCUAGGAGGCGGGAGAGGUCGACGGUACUUCUGGGGUAGGGGUGAAAUCCUAUAAUCCCGGGAGGACCACCAGUGGCGAAGGCUGUCGACUAGAACGCGCUCGACGGUGAGGGACGAAAGCUGGGGGAGCGAACCGGAUUAGAUACCCGGGUAGUCCCAGCCGUAAACGAUGCGAGCUAGGUGUUGGGAUGGCUACGUGCCAUUCCAGUGCCGCAGGGAAGCCAUUAAGCUCACCGCCUGGGGAGUACGGCCGCAAGGCUGAAACUUAAAGGAAUUGGCGGGGGAGCACCACAAGGCGUGAAGCUUGCGGUUCAAUUGGAUUCAACGCCGGA